rnacentral:tRNA from 1 species
UCCCUGGUCGUAUAUCGGUUAGUACACGCGCCUGUCAUCAUCGGAAGGCCGCGCGAGAGCUGGGUUCGACUCCCAGCCAGGGAG